rnacentral:rRNA from 1 species
GACGAACGCUGGCGGCGCGCCUAACACAUGCAAGUCGAACGGAGCAUUUGAGCAAGCUCAAAUGCUUAGUGGCGAACGGGUGAGUAACACGUGAGCAAUCUGCCUUCGAGUGGGGGACAACAGUUGGAAACGACUGCUAAUACCGCAUAAGACCACGAUCCCGCAUGGGAUAGCGGUCAAAAGGAUUUAUUCGCUUGAAGAUGAGCUCGCGUCCGAUUAGAUAGUUGGUGAGGUAACGGCCCACCAAGUCGACGAUCGGUAGCCGGACUGAGAGGUUGAACGGCCACAUUGGGACUGAGACACGGCCCAGACUCCUACGGGAGGCAGCAGUGGGGAAUAUUGCACAAUGGGGGAAACCCUGAUGCAGCGACGCCGCGUGAGCGAAGAAGAUCCUUCGGAUUGAAAGCUCUGUCUUAAGGGGGACGAUAAUGACGGUACCCUGAGAGGAAGCCACGGCUAACUACGUGCCAGCAGCCGCGGU